GACGAACGCUGGCGGCGUGCCUAAUACAUGCAAGUCGAGCGAGCUUGCCUAGAUGAAUUUGGUGCUUGCACCAGAUGAAACUAGAUACAAGCGAGCGGCGGACGGGUGAGUAACACGUGGGUAACCUGCCCAAGAGACUGGGAUAACACCUGGAAACAGAUGCUAAUACCGGAUAACAACACUAGACGCAUGUCUAGAGUUUAAAAGAUGGUUCUGCUAUCACUCUUGGAUGGACCUGCGGUGCAUUAGCUAGUUGGUAAGGUAACGGCUUACCAAGGCAAUGAUGCAUAGCCGAGUUGAGAGACUGAUCGGCCACAUUGGGACUGAGACACGGCCCAAACUCCUACGGGAGGCAGCAGUAGGGAAUCUUCCACAAUGGACGCAAGUCUGAUGGAGCAACGCCGCGUGAGUGAAGAAGGGUUUCGGCUCGUAAAGCUCUGUUGGUAGUGAAGAAAGAUAGAGGUAGUAACUGGUCUUUAUUUGACGGUAAUUAC
rnacentral:rRNA from 1 species